rnacentral:tRNA from 1 species
GCGUCGGUGGUUCAGUGGCAGAAUACUCGCCUGCCACGCGGGUGGCCCGGGUUCGAUUCCCGGCCAACGCA